rnacentral:rRNA from 1 species
UGGAGGCAGCAGUGGGGAAUAUUGGACAAUGGGGGCAACCCUGAUCCAGCAAUGCCGCGUGAGUGAUGAAGGCCUUCGGGUUGUAAAGCUCUUUUGGCGGGGACGAUGAUGACGGUACCCGCAGAAUAAGCCCCGGCUAACUUCGUGCCAGCAGCCGCGGUAAUACGAAGGGGGCUAGCGUUGUUCGGAAUUACUGGGCGUAAAGGGCGCGUAGGCGGUCCUGAUCGUCGGAUGUGAAAGGCCUGGGCUCAACCUGGGAACUGCAUCCGAUACGGCGGGACUGGAGUGUGGGAGAGGUUGGUGGAAUUCCCAGUGUAGAGGUGAAAUUCGUAGAUAUUGGGAAGAACACCGGUGGCGAAGGCGGCCAACUGGACCACAACUGACGCUGAGGCGCGAAAGCGUGGGGAGCAAACAGGAUUAGAUACCCCGGUAGU